UCCAAUAGCAAGGCCAAACCAAGUGUGUGUGUGUGAAUUCUGGCCUAGUCAAGUUUUUCCACACUUCAUGACUUCCAAGGCAAUCAGGCCCAAAUGUAGCUUCUCUCUUACAAAUUAAGUCUGUUCGCUUGAUUCUUUUUCUUCAUCUCGCUCUCUUCCUUUCUCUCACUCCAUUUCUCCUCUCUGGAGAGAGACCUUGCAGCCUGGUUGCCAUCUGCUGCCUGUUUUUUUUUUUUUAUGAGGUUGGAAUCAGAUGGCAUGUAAUCGAUCGUCACCAUCUCCAUGGCAACCAGGGUUAUGGCAGAGCAGAGGAGAGACAUUUCUUUAAGCCCUAGGCUGUCAUGGCGUUUAAGUGAGAAAUAAACCAAAGAAAACAAACUUCCUUAAACUUCUGUUAAACCAGAUCAGAAACUGGUUAAUGUGUUUAAAAAAAGUAAAAAGUAAUACAGUAUUAUGCAACUGCCUUUAAAAAGUGAAGCCAUACUCUGCUCAAGGAGAUGAAGAUAGGUCAGGCAAAGCAUUAAGGAGAACAGCUGAUCCUAAAGGCACACCAGACUGGCAUCUUCUGAUGAAAAUACAGGCAGAUGACAUGAAUAGGCUGCCUUUCCUGAGGGAACCUCGCCUAUGCUGCACCAUCCUGCUUUCUGGGGUUCGUGAAUGGUACGUAUAUUUAGUCUAAAAAGGACAUGUCUGGGGAAUACAUUUCUCAUUUUUUACUCAAGAGCAUGGCAGGAGGGAGUAUGAACUGGGUAUACCAUGAUGCUCUGGUGAACACUCUUGAGUCAAAGUUGAGAAAUAUAUCUCCAGCUGAUUUAAGACACUUAAAAAAAAGUAUCCUGAAAUAUCCCGAAGUAUCUCAAUUUUAAAAGGGGCUGCUGUUAAACUGAAAUUCAAUUUCAUGAGAAUAAAACAGGGCCCCACAUGAUCAGAAAGGUGCUUGUUAAAUUUUGCAAUUAUUGACACUGAAAUGGUGAAAUGAGCCAUUCGGGGAAACCCACUAUGGACUUUUGUUUUCAAAGUAAAAAUUGAGAUUGAAAGAUUGAUUGAAAGAGCUGCUGCCAUUGUAAAUCGUUCCUGCAUGUUUUGUUUGUUUUGAUUACAACUUCUUCUGAAAUGAAAUCUAUAUAUUUCUACUGCUGUCAGCUUUGGGGUUCACAUUCUUUGUUGCAUUAAAUCACUUCUCGGUAAAGAACCAACAAGAACCAUUCCUCUUGUAUAAUUGGCUCCUUCAAUUGACAGUCAAAAGUCUGAAAGAUGUAGUCUGGGUUGCUCAGCUCAUCAAACUGGCCAUGUCGUGAUUUUUGCAAUAAGAGGUAAUACAGUGGUUGCUUUUGAAAGUUCACCAUCUGCAAUGUCUCCUCAUUUAAUUCUUAAAGAAGGGUGUCAGUUUUCAGACAAUUAGUAAUUUCAGAGCAAAUUGGGUACAACCCAAUCUAUCAAAAUGUGAUAUUCUGAAGUGAGUUGUACAGCAUUAGCUUCUCAUUUUGUGGGAGUAUGGAUCAUCUUCUAGUUUUUCUAACUAAUUCUGCAUGUACUUUAGCAAUUACACUGAUGUUUAAAUAUUUCAGACAAAUUAAAGAUUAUGAUUGAUUAGAAUAUGGAAUGGAGCUGGUUUUGAUGUAAGGUCUUCCAUUAGCUUAUAAAGGCAUGAUGUCCACUAGCAACAUCCCCUCAGGGGGAGAGAGCAUAAUCUUAUGUGAUAAAAAAAAUGAAAAAAACAUCUUGUAUCUAAAAACAUAUUUUGCCUCAAUGGUAUCAAUCUCAUUGCCUACAUCUGUUUUAUUUUUAUAAUAUAUUUUCUUGAGCAUAAUGUGAAUUUCUGUUUUAACCACUUCAACACCAUGACGUACAUCAAAUGAAAACCCACUUACAGUACCAUGCCAUACGUGCGCACGUCAAGUUUCCCAUUCUAUUCUAUGACCGUUCUUACAAGACUGGAGCCGGUUCUAUCCAUGCUCAGAGAGACAUCAAUGGAUUUAGUUGACCUGGACAGAAUAUAGCCAUUGAUGAGGCACUUGUUUUGUGGAAAGGAAGACUUCACUUUUGGCAGUACAUAAAAACAAAAAGAGCUCGAUUUGGAAUCAAACUUUUCUGCCUGUGUCCCAGUGAUAAAGUCUGAGGGGUUACAUCUGAAAUUUUCAAAUUUACAUCGGCAAGGAUAAAUAUGAAGUCUUUCAUUAUCCAGAAGCAAGUGAACUCAGUUUAUGUGAAAGAAUUGUGGUUUAUUUGGCUGAUCAUGUACCAAACCAAGGGUGUCAUAUUAUUGUUGAUAAUUGGUACAUGUCUACAAGACUAGCAUCAUUUUUGCUUACACAAAAUACGCACAUCACUGGGACUAUUCGAACCAACAAAGGUGUACCAAAGGAAGUAACUGAAGAAAAACUGGACAAAGGACAGGCAUGUUUUGUUAGAAACUCUGAUUUAUUGUUUGUGAGGUGGCACGACAAAAGGGACGUGAAUGUACUGACUACAAUUCCGUUCCUGGAUUACCUUUUACAGUGCUGUGACGAAAUACUAUCAAAACACAGUCCUGGGUAAAAGGCAAUGAGGCAGGCAUCUGCGGCAGCCAGAUCCAUCACAAUUUCUGCGCAAAGUAGCCCUGUACAUGCAUUUGUGAC